UAACACUGCCGAUAUUUUCAUCGAUUGUUUCGUGAAAAUUGAUUUCUUAUUGCGUAAAUUCAAAGUAUCGGAGUUAUUCAAAAAUUUUAUUCAAUAACCUGCGUUUUACAGCAGCUGUAGCAGGUAAGUUUUGCGUGCUAGGUGAAGUGCAGCCGUUGCUUACUUACAAGAUCAUUUGUGUGUCCGUCCACGUUCGCUGGUGAGGGUAUUUUCCCCACUGCAGCCUUUGGUUUGGUCAGGUGGAGAAUUUGCAUUCAUACAAGUCAGGAUCAUUUGUGUGUCCGCCCACCAAAUGUGAUUCAAUUUAAGAUAUUGAGCACGUAAUUUUUAAAUGCAACAAAUAUAAUAAUUUAAAAAAAAUUAAUUUAUGUAUAUACAUUACAUCAAUUGCAUCUUUACUAUUAUAUACUAGUAUAUUUCUUCAUAUCGCACACCGUCUUCAAAAGAGUCACAACUCAAA